UAGGGAAUCUUCCACAAUGGACGCAAGUCUGAUGGAGCAACGCCGCGUGAGUGAAGAAGGCUUUCGGGUCGUAAAACUCUGUUAUUGAAGAAGAACGUGUGUGACAGUAACUGGUCAUGCAGUGACGGUAUUCAAUCAGAAAGUCACGGCUAACUACGUGCCAGCAGCCGCGGUAAUACGUAGGUGGCAAGCGUUGUCCGGAUUUAUUGGGCGUAAAGCGAGUGCAGGCGGUCUUUUAAGUCUGAUGUGAAAGCCUUCGGCUUAACCGAAGAAGGGCAUCGGAAACUA
rnacentral:rRNA from 1 species